GGCUGGUCCAAAGUACUGAGCUAUGUCAGUUGAUGUUUAAUGGUCAGUUAUAGAUUAAACUUCUUGUUUUGCUUUCCCCCCUUCUUAAUCCUGCUUUUGACUGUUAA
rnacentral:Y_RNA from 1 species